rnacentral:rRNA from 1 species
UACGUAGGUGGCGAGCGUUGUCCGGAUUUACUGGGCGUAAAGGGAGCGUAGGCGGAUUUUUAAGUGAGAUGUGAAAUACUCGGGCUCAACUUGAGUGCUGCAUUUCAAACUGGAAGUCUAGAGUGCAGGAGAGGAGAAUGGAAUUCCUAGUGUAGCGGUGAAAUGCGUAGAGAUUAGGAAGAACACCAGUGGCGAAGGCGAUUCUCUGGACUGUAACUGACGCUGGGGCUCGAAAGCGUGGGGAGCAAACAGG